UGCACGCGCAAAAUUAAACCAAAGUUUUCUAAACGUAUAUUUCAUUGCCACCACUCGCCUUCAGCUCCUGUUCGCGUGCAACCGACUUCAGAUCUGGAACCAAACGAACGAACAGAUAUCGCCGCCGCUCACCUUCAGCUCCGUUGACGUCGCCACCGUCCUCCAUUGCAACAGUCACCGUCGUCCUCCAUUGCCUUCAGAUCUGGACAGCUCCGUUCCGCCACUGCCGCGCCGCCGCUGUCCUCCAUUGCCGCUUGUCCUCCGCCGCCGCUCGCCCUCCGUUGCCGACGCUCCUUGCCGCCCGCAGACGCCGACGCUCUUCGCCGAAUCAAUUUUUCAUUUCAAGUCUUUCUGGAGAUGACAUUAUACAGAAUCGUGUUGGAUGCAUUGUAUAAGCGAAUCAUGAGAGCUUAUAAUGAGAACAAUUGUUUCAGGGUUAUUAUUAUCAUACCUCUCCUUCCUGGAUUUCAGUUUUGACAGGGUGGAUUAGAUGAUAGUGAUGCUGCAUCUGUCAGAGCUAUCAUGCAUUGGCAAUAUCGGACAAUAUGCAGAGAACAUAGUUCAAUAUUGUAGAAUCUUCACGAUCGGAUUGGCUCUAGAGUGAAUGAUUAUAUAUCAUUCUAUGGUCUCACUGCUCAUAUAUGUUAGCGGCAUCUAUUUUCUGAAUUCAACUUCUCCUCUCUCAUGUUUCUCAGUUUUCAUAGCUAUUGUUCAUUCACGGUGGAUUCAUGUGUUUGCCAAUUUUCUAGAUUUAUGUGCACAACAAGAUCAUGAUAAUUGAUGACUGUACAACCUUGAUUGGAUCGGCAAAUAUAAAUGACCGGAGCUUCCUUGGAUCAAGAGACUCUGAUGGAAUCUUUUUUUUGUUCUCCAGCUUUCCAAAUCAUCACUUCUCUCAGAAUUGGUGCAGUCUUUCUUGUAUGCUUAAUCAUCACAUGCAGUUUUUGGACUUCGGCAAUAAUCUUACUUGUGUUGGCAAUGAUUGUUCUGGAUAUAAUGGAUUAAUGGUACAUUCUCUUGACAAUUUAUAGGAGAGUGCUUCUUUACUUUGACUUUUUCCCUAGAUCCAAUCCAUUUAUGAGUUAGUUUUAUAUAUGCGUGCAUGCUGUCUUUAAUUUAAUGAAGCUAGCUAAGGGACAGAAUUGAAGAUGAACAUACACAGGCACUUAGCUUCAUUCUGUCAUUUUAAUUUCUGGUAAUCUAUGUUGUUUUUAUGUCUAUGUUGGUAAUCUUGCACAUGGUUCAGUUUGUUUGUCAAUGAUCAAUCAUAGUAUGCAAUUGCAACUGUGCGAGCAACAGACAAGAAAAGCCCUAGAGAAGCUGUUGAAUUUGUUUUACAACUUUUAAAGGUCAGGUAAAGCUUAAUUGGUGUGCAUGCAAUGAGGUUAUGUCAGAUAAGAAAUGAAUCUAGCUAUGACCAUGAAUUGAAUAGUUACACCCUUGUUGCUUUGUUGUUGCUGUUCAAAUCUGGCUAUCCAUGGGGCUUUGCUGUUCAAAUUUUUCGUGGAGUGUUGUCUCCCUGUGAAAUAGAAAUGCCAUCAAGGACCUUCUUAAAUUGGUACAAGAGAGCAGAUUAUACAGCCUAUGCUUUUAACACGAGGCCUGUAAUGAGGAACCCAUGCCAAAAGCCUUUUGUCUUUUAUUUGUCAAGUGCAAAAAUGGAUCCUUUGGGUAAUCAAACGGUCAGCAAGUAUACUCGUCAUUGAGUUCCUCAUCCCGCGUGCAAAUGGAAAAUGGCACAACCUUCUGACAUUGAGAGAAUAGAGGUUUAUAAGAAGCCAGAUCCACAUUUAUGGGAUAGAUCUCCGAGGAGGAACUGCUGCAGAGUCUUAAAUUCCGAGGGGAAAAACAUGGUGGUGGAUGUGGGUGUAUGUAGGGAAGGUGAGGCCAGUGAAAUAUGAUAAUCCGAAAUUUUGAGCGCCAUUAGUUUUCAAAGGUCAAGAGUGCUAAAGUGGAUUCGUCUCUACUUCCAUUUGGUUUUAAAUUCAAAGUAUUUUGCUUUAUUAAUUAUAGUAGAAUAUAUAUAUAUAUAUAUAUAUAUAUUAUUUUUUAGAUUAAAAAAUACUUUACGCUACACCCGCUCGAGCAGGUGUAGCGGAAAGUCAUUUUUAAAAAAUACUUUACGCUACACCUCUACAGGUGUAGCGGAAAGCCAAGGACUUUUAGAGUCACUUCCAUCCUCUACACCUGCAGAGGUGUAGCGGAAAGACAUUUACAGGUGUAGCGUAUGUGUUUUUUUGUACUAGUGACUAUAAAUAAGACAUCAAAUCUUUUAUCAUUAGUUUUUAAGCUCUAAGUAUCUGGGCAAGAGCCUAAAACUCUUGUUAGGGAAAGUCUUGUGACUUCCUGUUUCUCCUUUCCAAUUUCCAGUCAAUAAAACAUACCUCCUUGUUCUUUUCUCUAUCAGUUUGUUUUUUUCAUAACUAUGGUAGAUUGCCAGAUCCUGAGCAUAGUUUCUAAGUUACCUGUAAACUAACUACCUACAACUUGGCCAGAAAUAAGGUAAGGUAGAAAACUUGCAGUUAGAUUUAUUAGUGUAUAGUAGUUAAAGCCUGUGAAGGGUAUUUUUCUUACAAUUGAAAAAGUAACUUGUCUCGUUCACUUUGGGAGCUAGAUGAGAUGUGUUUCUUAGGCAUGAAAUUUAAACAUAUAUAUAUAUAUCUGUCUCUUUUGCGGUAAGUUAUGGAACUAUCAUGCAACUAAAACACUUGUGUUUGCACUAUUGUAACAUCUGAGCUUGCAAUUACACUUACUUAGGCUUUCCAUGCCCAUGAAGGCAAUUCAAGCAGCUAAUGAGGAGUUGAAAAAAUAUAAUUUUGCAGUUAUACAGAAGUGAGAAUAUAAUAUUUUAAUUUUUAUGAGAUGAAGGAAGGGUAUGUGGCAUUUAUCUGCCUAGUAUGUAUGUGUUCCAUCAUUCCUGUAUGCACAAUAGUUAGAAAGGAUGCACUGGAUGGGUCAUUUCAUUUGUAAGAAAUAUUAUGAUAGAGACUACAAAAAGUUGGUUGUUUAGCAGUACUUGUUGUUCUAA